rnacentral:rRNA from 1 species
CAGCCGCCACGGUAAUACGUAGGGAGCAAGCGUUGUUCGGAUUUACUGGGCGUAAAGGGCGCGUAGGCGGCGCGGUAAGUCACUUGUGAAAUCUCUGAGCUUAACUCAGAACGGCCAAGUGAUACUGCUGUGCUAGAGUGCGGAAGAGGCAACCGGAAUUCUUGGUGUAGCGGUGAAAUGCGUAGAUAUCAAGAGGAACACCUGAGGCGAAGGCGGGUUGCUGGGCCGACACUGACGCUGAUGCGCGAAAGCCAGGGGAGCAAACGGGAUUAGAUACCCCUGUAGUCCCUGUCUCUUAUAC